rnacentral:rRNA from 2 species
CAAAGGUUUGGUCCUGGCCUUGUGGUCAGUUAUUACUUACUAUACACAUGCAAGUAUCCGCCCCCCUGUGAAAACGCCCUUCAACCCCCAUUAGGGACAAGGAGCCGGUAUCAGGCGCGAAAAUCCGCCCAAGACACCUAGCUAUGCCACACCCACAAGGGAAUUCAGCAGUGAUUAACAUUGAGCAUUAGCGCAAGCUUGACUCAGUUAAAGUAUAGAGAGCCGGCUAAUCUGGUGCCAGCCGCCGCGGUUACACCACGUGGCUCAAAUUGACCCCCUCCGGCGUAAAGCGUGAUUAAAGUUUCCACUUACUAGAGUUAAACUAAAACUAAGCUGUGACACGCCUGUUAUCAAGAAACCCAAAAACGAAAGUUACUCUAACACAACCAACUUGAACUCACGACAGCUGGG